rnacentral:rRNA from 1 species
UGGGGGAUAUUGCACAAUGGGCGAAAGCCUGAUGCAGCGACGCCGCGUGGGGGAUGAAGGCUUUCGGGUUGUAAACCUCUUUCGCUAUCGAACAAGGCCCGCUUAGGGUGGGUUGAGGGUAGGUGGAGAAGAAGCGCCGGCUAACUACGUGCCAGCAGCCGCGGUAAUACGUAGGGCGCGAGCGUUGUCCGGAAUUAUUGGGCGUAAAGGGCUUGUAGGCGGCUUGUUGCGCCUGCUGUGAAAACGCGGGGCUUAACUUCGCGCGUGCAGUGGGUACGGGCAGGCUUGAGUGUGGUAGAGGUGACUGGAAUUCCAGGUGUAGCGGUGGAAUGCGCAGAUAUCUGGAGGAACACCGCUGGCGAAGGCAGGUCACUGGGCCAUUACUGACGCUGAGGAGCGAAAGCAUGGGUAGCGAACAGG